AGAGUUAAAAAGUACGUGAAACCGUUAAAAGGGAAGCAAAUGGCACUAGCAUUUGUCGCCGUCAUAAUCAAUCAUUUGGGUAACCUGCCAGAUAGUGUAGGGAGUGUCAAAGCCUCUUGCUGUUUGUACAGGCCCUCAAUUGAUGCACUUGUGGCGAAAGACAGGUCAACAUCAGUUCGGACUGAGACACACGCGCGUUAGGAAGGUGGCUUGCAGCUUCGGUUGUAAGUGUUAUAGCCUAUCGUGAAUGUCUCGGGCUGGACUGAGGAGAUCGCAGGUCGUGCCCUCUGGGCUAGUUUUGGUUCGGCUGAUGUAGCGGAUCUGCUCCACUUGCACAAGUAAGUUGUGUGGAUCCAAGCGCGUCACUCGGAUAUCAAAACGUAACGACCUUCGGAUGUUGGCGAAAUGGUGUUAUCUGACC
rnacentral:rRNA from 1 species